rnacentral:rRNA from 1 species
AGCAGUGAGGAAUUUUCCGCAAUGAGCGAAAGCUUGACGGAGCAAUGCCGCGUGGAGGACGACAGCCUGUGGGUUGUAAACUCCUUUUCUUGGAAAAGAAGAAUUUUAGAUUUAGACGGUAUCUAAGGAAUAAGCAUCGGCUAACUCCGUGCCAGCAGCCGCGGUAAUACGGAGGAUGCAAGCGUUAUCCGGAAUCAUUGGGCGUAAAGGGUCCUGAGGUGGUUUGUUUAGUCCACUGUGAAAGAUCAGGGCUUAACCCUGAAAAUGCGGUGGAAACUAGCAAGCUAGAGUACGGUAGGGGCGGAGGGAAUUCCCGGUGUAGCGGUGAAAUGCAUAGAUAUCGGGAAGAACACCGACGGCGAAAGCACUCUGCUGGGCCGAUACUGACACUGACA